UGCACGUCCCCCCAUUCCCUAUUUAUACACCCCCCUUGCGGCUCCGCUCUCCCCCCGCUUCCUGCCCCCCCACUCCCCAGCUCCGCCAAUGCUAGCGCAGCCUGAGCCCCCGCCUCCCCACCCCGCCCGCGGGGCCGGGGGCUGCAGCCUCAACCCCCCCCCCGACCCCGACCAAUACGAUCCGAGCGACAAGCCAGCAAACCAGCUUCAGCGGCCCCUCCGCUGCCCGCCCCGAGUGUAGGCGAGCGUGCGGGAGGGGCGGCCCUAGCGUGUGGAUCUGAGCCCCCCCAGCCUGCCUUGCGCACCCACAGGUCGGGCGGGCAUCAGCACCCUGCCUAGCUCUCUUUGAUGGCCGAAAUCCUCAGAAGUCGCUUGCGACCUCCUCCCGCUCUGCAGCCCUAAGAAGGACGCGGGGUCCCGGCCCGACGCAGGCGGAACCUUGCUGCCCGCCUCAUACUGACCGAAGCAAAUGGCCUGCACGUCUCGAUAACUAGGGGAGAGAUAGGUCGUUUUCCCCACCCAACCGCUCCUUGUGCUUUGUGCCCUGGGGAGCGUGAAUUCGCCUCCUGAGGGAAGAGAGCAAAUGAUGGCGAUGGACAGGAUGGGCAAAACCACCGGCCCUUGCACAUCCCAGCAGUUUUGAGGGAAAGUAGGGAACCCAGGGAUCAAGAAGUGCCCUCGAUCUUCCCCAAAGCCAGAAGCAUGCCUAGCGCCAGCCGCCCUACAAAAUGCCGGGCACUCUGACCACGGACCCUGCGGCCAGGCCUGAGCGCUUUGUCCCUAGCCCGCCUGAGGAUGCUACCAGAUGAGGCUUGGACACGGAGGUUCGUCUGCUGGGGCCGCCGCUGAGCUAUUUAUUGGGCUCAGAGCCUGAGACUGUAGGCAAGGCACGUGUACGGGCGCGAAGUUCCCACAGUUAGUUGCAAGAGGAACGAAUUUCUAGGCUACACCUUGAAGAGAAACAAGAGCUCACACAGUCCCUGAGUCUGCCUCCUGCUGCUGGCCUGUUGGACCUUCUGCAGUUGCCAUGGCAACUGUGUACCUCAGUUUUGGCUCUGCACCAGCUGGAUAGCAAACUGAAGAGCAUCAUUGUCUCUCAGGCUAAGCAGAGCUGUCGAGGUCAUUCAUUCAUUAGAUUAAUAUUGAUUGAACACCUACUAAGCGCUUUGUUUUGUUUCGUGGGUUUUUUAGAAGCUGGAGAAUGCAGUUGUAAACAAAGUAGACUUCAGACCUUGCCACCAAGAAUUCCAAAGCCCAGAGAUGCAGAGAGACAAGAAAUAAGGACACAGAAAAGUCUUUGCUUCUCUCGGCAGUGCAAGUUUUCCGCUCGCAGCCCCUUCUGCUGGACCUGCCCCUGCAAAAGCCCGACGAGUGAAGCUCCUUUCCGACGAGUAAAGCUCCUUUCCGACGAGUGAAGCUCCUUUCAGCUGUCACAGCUCUGCUCUGCCUGUUCAUUUUCUCCCCUGGUUGUGAAAACCAAAGAAAUUUCAGGAAAUAUAUGAAAGCAACAGGAAAAAUUAAAUAAUCUGUGAUGCUACCACCAAGAGUUAAGAGCUACAAGCCAGGUGAUGGUGGCACAAGCCUUAAAUCCCAACGCUCAGAAGGCAGAGGCAAGUGGAUCCCUUUUUUUGAGACAGGGUUUCUCUGUAUUGUUUUGGAGGCUGUCUUUGAACUCCCUCUGUAGACGGGACUGGCCUCAAACUCAGAGAUCCGCCUGCCUCUGCCUCCCAAGUGCUGGGAUUAAAGGCCUGCGCCACCACUGCCUGGCACUCUUGUUUUUGUUUUUUUGCUUAUAAUUGUUUAAUAAACUUUUAAUUUAUUCCUAUAUAUAGUGAGCCUUGAUCACAUCUAAUCAAAAUGUUCCUUUUUACACACAUACACACACACACACACCCAGUACUUCUCCUUCUCACUUCCAUCUCUUUAUUUUAUUAAUAACUCACUGAGUCCAGUUGGUGCUGGGUUUGUGCCCACAGGUGUGGGACUCAACACCUAGGCAUGGAUACUCUCCCAGUGACUACACCCUCCAAGGAAAGUGACUCUGUCUCUCCCAGCAGCCAUUAAUGGUCAGCAGCUGCUCAGCUGGUGGUGGGACCUGCGGAGCACCUUCCAUCCACGAGCACCUUCUAUCCACGCUGGACUGUUGAGUGACUGCGGCUUGCUGUGCAGAUGAGCCCAGCUGCUGUGCGCAUUCUUGAGUGUAAUGGCCCUAUGGUGUCCAGGAGGCCGCAUUUCACAGGGCUCCUCCCACUUUCAAACAAACAAACGCAAAAGGAACUGAAACUAUGUUGCCCAGGCUGGCCUUUAACUCACAGUCUGAUGACUCCGUCUCCCAAAUAACUAGGAAAACAGGUUUCCAUUGCUGGGCUGUGACAAGGAAUGAAAGUCACCCACCUUCCCUAGAGGCCGCAUCCUUGUGCUCUACCAAUGAUCCUGUAUGAGCCAGAGGCUUAGAAGUCCUUGAUUUCCAUCCUGAAGGGUUAGCCUUUCUCCGCUGUGGUCUUGGGGCCCUAAGGACCUCGUCAUUCAUU